AUUGAACGCUGGCGGCAGGCCUAACACAUGCAAGUCGAGCGAGCGGCGGACGGGUGAGUAAUGUAUGGGGACUGCCCGAUAGAGGGGGAUAACUUCUGGAAACGGUGGCUAAUACCGCAUACUAUCGGCUAACCCCUAUGGGUUUAGCUAGUAGGUGGGGUAAAGGCUCACCUAGGCGACGCUCUCUAGCUGGUCUGAGAGGAUGAUCUGCCAAUCUGGGACUGAGACACGGCCCGGACUCCAACGGACGCCGCAGUGGGGAAUAUUGCACAAUGGGAGCAACCCUGAUGCAGCCAUGCCGUGUGUAUGAAGAAUGCCUUAGAUGUGUAAAGUCCUUUCAGCGUGGAGGCGUUAUACGCAGAAGAAGCACCGGCUAACUCCGUGCCAGCAGCCGCGGUAAUAC
rnacentral:rRNA from 1 species